rnacentral:rRNA from 1 species
AACAGGAUUAGAUACCCUGGUAGUCCACGCCGUAAACGAUGUCGACUUGGAGGUUGUGCCCUUGAGGCGUGGCUUCCGGAGCUAACGCGUUAAGUCGACCGCCUGGGGAGUACGGCCGCAAGGUUAAAACUCAAAUGAAUUGACGGGGGCCCGCACAAGCGGUGGAGCAUGUGGUUUAAUUCGAUGCAACGCGAAGAACCUUACCUACUCUUGACAUCCAGAGAACUUAGCAGAGAUGCUUUGGUGCCUUCGGGAACUCUGAGACAGGUGCUGCAUGGCUGUCGUCAGCUCGUGUUGUGAAAUGUUGGGUUAAGUCCUGCAACGAGCGCAACCCUUAUCCUUUGUUGCCAGCGGUCCGGCCGGGAACUCAAAGGAGACUGCCAGUGAUAAACUGGAGGAAGGUGGGGAUGACGUCAAGUCAUCAUGGCCCUUACGAGUAGGGCUACACACGUGCUACAAUGGCAUAUACAAAGAGAAGCGACCUCGCGAGAGCAAGCGGACCUCAUAAAGUAUGUCGUAGUCCGGAUUGGAGUCUGCAACUCGACCCCAUGAAGUCGGAAUCGCUAGUAAUCGUGGAUCAGAAUGCCACGGUGAAUACGUUCCCGGGCCUUGUACACACCGCCCGUCACACCAUGGGAGUGGGUUGCAAAAGAAGUAGGUAGCUUAACCUUCGGGAGGGCGCUUACCACUUUGUGAUUCAUGACCGGGGUGAAGUCGUAACAAGGUAACC